CCGGCCCCGGCCCCGGCCCCGGCCCCGGCCCCGGCCCCGGCCCCUUGUGUCGUUCCCUUGCCCUGCAGCCCGGGCACGGCACUGCCCCUCCACAGUCAUAACAGGGUGCUUUUAGGAGGAGCGCUGCUGAGGCCUAGGGGGGGAAAAUGGGGGGUGUGUGUGUGUGGGGAGAAUGAAAGGCAAAAGGAGGAUUUAGUGCCGGGAGCCCCUGCGGGAGGACCGGGGGUCGGGGGGGGGGGGCGGCCUCCCGCCGCGGCUCGGUCCGGCGCUUCCUCCCCGGGCAGCGGCGGCGCACGGCGGCGGUGCGGUCUCCACCUGCCCGCGGGGGGAGCGGCCCCGGCCCCGGUCCCGGCCCCGCCGCCUCGCUCGGCACCCCGCGGGGCAGCGGCUCCGGGGCCGGGGUCCGCCCGGGCGGCGACGCGAGCUCCUCUCCCCAAAGACAAGGUCAAGGAUGAAGGGUCAAUGUCAAGUUGUCUUAGCGGUGGAAGGCGACCGUCCGCGGCAGCACUCCUUCCUUUCCGCGUUUCUGGUGUCCUUGAUUGAUUUGAAAGUGCCAUUUUGAGGGGGAAACGCACCCGGCCACCGAGAAGACGUGAGGGCUUCGCUUUUCCUUCGGAGGGCGAAGAAGGGACGGUGGUAACUUUCAGGGACCCUCGGAAGGCUGAGUCCUGCCCACGCGAACCCUCCGGGAGGUAGGAUGCAAUGUCAUGGCUCCCCGAUAAGCACGCGUAACCUAUCGGCCGCAGGGGCACCCCGCUCGUCCCUUUUCCGCGUGGACGCUACGGGAAAGCGAAUUUGAAUGUAAACACGCGUGAUGCGGCGCGGGGCGGCGCGUCAGCGAGGGAACCUGCGUGGCAGCAGGCGCGGUGCUUGCCCCGGCGCUGCCCCGCGGGGGAAGCCGCGGCGGCAGCCGGGCGGGGCGGGAGGCGGCCGCGGCCUGACCGACAGACACCGUCGCCCCAGGCACGACCAGCUCCGCAGGGAUGAACCUGCGGCCCGGGCGGCUGGAGGGAGGCGGCAGGGCUUCUGCGCCUGGCUCUCCUUUCAACGUCGGUCGCUUCUUGCUUUGCAAUUACAUUUUCCUGUACCGAUUCCCCCACCCACGCUUGUUUGUGAAGAUACAAAGGGGGCAAGUAACGAACCGCCUACACACGGAGCAGGGAAAGCAGCUAUGCUCAAAUCGCCGCUGACCCCCGCUCCCACUCCCAUGAAAGGGGAAAAAAGCGCGCAUUUUUGCGGGCCUCAUGAUGAUAAUUCUCGGCCAGAAGCAAUGGUGCUAACAGUUUUGUAAACAAAAAUAUGAAUUAUGAUUUCUUUCAGUUAACUCGAGAAAGGUAAAUGUAUAAAUAAAACCCAUGUAUUCAAA